rnacentral:rRNA from 1 species
GACGUAGGGUGCAAGCGUUAUCCGGAAUUAUUGGGCGUAAAGGGUGCGUAGGCGGUUUAUUAAGUCUGCUGUGAAAGACAAUGGCUCAACCAUUGAAACGCAGUUGAAACUGAUAAACUAGAGUAUAGUAGAGGUAAGUGGAAUUUCAUGUGGAGCGGUGGAAUGCGUAGAUAUAUGAAGGAACACCAAUGGCGAAGGCAGCUUACUGGGCUAUUACUGACGCUGAGGCACGAAAGCACGGGGAGCAAAUAGGAUUAGAUACCCUAGUAGUCCGUGCUGUAAACGAUGAGUGCUAGAAGUUUGGGGUCAAACCUGAGUUUCGAAGCUAACGCAUUAAGCACUCCGCCUGGGGAGUACGGCCGCAAGGUUG